UGGUCAGGCUGUGGCUGUGGCACAGCACUUGGCUUUCUCCUGGGGGCACUGGGGAGCCAUGGCAGAUUCUGAGCA
ensembl:snoRNA